AUUGAACGCUGGCGGCAGGCCUAACACAUGCAAGUCGAACGAGUGGCGGACGGGUGAGUAAUGUCUGGGAAACUGCCCGAUGGAGGGGGAUCACUACUGGAAACGGUAGCUAAUACCGCAUACCAUCGGAUGUGCCCAGAUGGGAUUAGCUAGUAGGUGGGGUAAAGGCUCACCUAGGCGACGAUCCCUAGCUGGUCUGAGAGGAUGACCAGCCACACUGGAACUGAGACACGGUCCAGACUCCUACGGGAGGCAGCAGUGGGGAAUAUUGGACAAUGGGCGAAAGCCUGAUGCAGCCAUGCCGCGUGUAUGAAGAAGGCCUUCGGGUUGUAAAGUACUUUCAGCGGGGAGGCGUUACCCGCAGAAGAAGCACCGGCUAACUCCGUGCCAGCAGCCGCGGUAAUAC
rnacentral:rRNA from 1 species